UUUGAUCUGUUACAAAUUACUUGUGUCAGAAUUUCAGUAAUUCAGUAAUCGAAACAAUCAAAAAUCAAAAGCAAAUAUACCCACAAAAUUGAGAAUGAAGAAUCCCCUGUAUUUCCUUUUCUGGCUCAUUGUCUUGCUCUGGCUGUCGUUCUUUGUGGCCUUUUUCGGGGCCUUCUUCUAUAUCUGGUCUUAUAUGUUCUCUCAAUGCAGUGACUGCUGCGAAGGUAUUGCUGAAUUUUUCCUGAAGUGCGUCCAGUUUCCCGGAUACUGUGCUGCAGGUAUGAUGCAGUGCAAGAAACCGUGCUAGAAUCGACGAAGAUGGGGGCAAGGGGCGGCCACCCGCCACCCGCCACCCUUUAUGCAGCACAGUGUCGACACUAUCCAUACACAUUUUGUUGCUAUGCAGAUUCCAUGUUUUACUAUCGAUACCGCCAGAAGAUCUUCCUCUGCGUCUGAACUUCCUUCAACUGCAAAACCACCACGGACAUCAUGAACAGAUUAUAUCAGGCCAACAGUUCACUUACUUUACUGUCGAUACUGCCAGAAGAUCUUCCUCUUCGUAUACUUCCUUCAUUUAUAACACCACCUCCGACAUCGAAAACAGAUUACUUCAGAAUAAUAUUUACUAGAAGAUCGCUGGAGUACGACUUGGGCCGCUUGUUGAGCAGGCCAAGGUAGCGACAACAAAUUAUUGGUGGAUAUAUUACUACAUAUGUAUAUUAAAUAAUAAACCUAAACAUAUUUCCCCACUAA
rnacentral:sRNA from 1 species